rnacentral:misc_RNA from 1 species
AGGGUUUGGACCUGGGAUAAUUCUGAUUUGUCUUCUCAGUCCUUGCAUACAAAUUCUACUCCUUUUUUGUUUUUUGUUCAUAAGCCUUCAACUUUGAGUUAUCCUCAUUAAAAUUCCGAUUUUUAGUUUUUCCAAAUAAGAAUCCAUACUUUUUACAACACAAUAAUAUAUUCCUAUUUCAAUAGGAACCAAACCUGACAUCCUAAGUAAAUUGGAUGUUCCACUACUUCAUUACGUUAGAAUUGGGUUGCUGUGUUUUAAAAUGUUUAGCUACUCAAUAAUAAAAUAAAAGGCUGG